AUUGAACGCUGGCGGCAUGCCUAACACAUGCAAGUCGAACGGUAACGCGGAGAGCUUGCUCUCUGGCGACGAGUGGCGGACGGGUGAGUAAUACUUGGGAAUCUGCCCAGUAGUGGGGGACAACAUUCGGAAACGGAUGCUAAUACCGCAUACGCACUACGGUGGAAAGUGGGGGAUCUUCGGACCUCACGCUAUUGGAUGAGCCCAAGUCGGAUUAGCUUGUAGGUAGGGUAACGGCCUACCUAGGCGACGAUCCGUAGCUGGUCUGAGAGGACGAUCAGCCACACUGGGACUGAGACACGGCCCAGACUCCUACGGGAGGCAGCAGUGGGGAAUAUUGGACAAUGGGCGCAAGCCUGAUCCAGCAAUGCCGCGUGUGUGAAGAAGGCCUGCGGGUUGUAAAGCACUUUCAGUAGAGAAGAAAAGCCUAGGGUUAAUACCCCUGAGUCUUGGCGUAACCUACAGAAGAAGCACCGGCUAACUCCGUG
rnacentral:rRNA from 1 species